rnacentral:misc_RNA from 1 species
UCUCCGUAGGUGAACCUGCGGAGGGAUCAUUACAGAGUUCUCGCCCUCACGGGUAGAUCUCCCACCCACUGUUAUCGUUACUGUCGUUUCUUUGGCGGGCCGCCGGGUCCCCGGCCGCCGGCGCCUAGCCGCCGGCGCGCGCCCGCCAGAGGCCUUCAAACUCUGAAUGUUAGUGUCGUCUGAGUACUAUAUAAUAGUUAAAACUUUCAACAACGGAUCUCUUGGUUCUG